GAGCCAUUAGCUCAGUUGGUAGAGCAUCUGACUUUUAAUCAGAGGGUCGGAGGUUCGAGCCCUCCAUGGCUCACCA
rnacentral:tRNA from 2 species